rnacentral:tRNA from 1 species
CAAAAGGUAGUUUAUAUAAAAUAUUAGUUUUGGGGACUAUUGAUAAGCUCAUACUUUCUUUUGA